AUUGAACGCUGGCGGCAGGCCUAACACAUGCAAGUCGAGCGAGCGGCGGACGUGUGAGUAAUGCCUGGGAAUUGCCCAGUCGAGGGAGAUAACAGUUGGCAACUACUGCUCAUACCUCAUACUAUUGGCUUGCCCAGGUUGGCUUAGCUAGUUGGUGAGGUACAGGCGCACCAAGGCGACGAUCCCUGGCUGGUCUGAGUGGAUGAGCAGCCACACUGGAACUGAGACACGGUCCAGACUCCUACGGGAGGCAGCAGUGGGGAAUAUUGCAUAAUGGGUGAAAACCUGAUGCAGCCAUGCCGGGUGUGUGAAGAAGGCCUUCGGGUUGUAAAGCACUUUCAGCGAGGAGGCGUUACCCGCAGAAGAAGCACCGGCUAACUCCGUGCCAGCAGCCGCGGUAAUUC
rnacentral:rRNA from 1 species